rnacentral:rRNA from 1 species
GACGAACCGUGCGAACGUUAUUCGGAAUCACUGGGCUUAAAGGGCGCGUAGGCGGGCGGCCAAGUCAGGGGUGAAAGCCCCCAGCUCAACUGGGGAAGUGCCUCUGAUACUGGUCGUCUCGAGGGAGAUAGGGGCGUGCGGAACUUCCGGUGGAGCGGUGAAAUGCGUAGAUAUCGGAAGGAACACCGGUGGCGAAAGCGGCGCGCUGGAUCUCUUCUGACGCUGAGGCGCGAAAGCCAGGGGAGCGAACGGG